UCCCUUUUGUCUUUGUGUGUAUGUGUGCCUUUUUUCUUCUUUUUUUUUGCUUUUGAAUUCAAAGACUGCCGUUUUUUGUGCGUUUCUUUUUCCAUUUUAAUGCUGAAAGCAACAACGUUAACAAGUCCAUUAGUGUAGAUUCAAUGAGCACUACUGAAAGAUGAUGGAAUUAAGCGCCUUGCCUUUUUCGCUAUGCCACUAAGCAAUUUUCGGUCACUUCAUCAGCAGGAGGGGAUCUGAAGAAGAUAGAUGGGAUCGCUGGAAAAGCUGGGGGGGGGGGG
rnacentral:lncRNA from 1 species